UACGGAGGGGGCUAGCGUUGUUCGGAAUUACUGGGCGUAAAGCGCGCGUAGGCGGCCAUUUAAGUCAGAGGUGAAAGCCCGAGGCUCAACCUCGGAACUGCCUUUGAUACUGGGAAUCUUGAGACCGGUAGAGGUAAGUGGAACUGCGAGUGUAGAGGUGAAAUUCGUAGAUAUUCGCAAGAACACCAGUGGCGAAGGCGGCUUACUGGACCGGUUCUGACGCUGAGGCGCGAAAGCGUGGGGAGCAAACAGG
rnacentral:rRNA from 1 species